rnacentral:rRNA from 1 species
GACGAACGCUGGCGGCGUGCUUAACACAUGCAAGUCGAGCGGUAAGGCCCUUUCGGGGGUACACGAGCGGCGAAUGGGUGAGUAACACGUGGGUGACCUGCCUUUAGCUCUGGGAUAAGCCUGGGAAACUGGGUCUAAUACCGGAUAUGACCCUAUGGCGCAUGUUGUGGGGUGGAAAGCCUUGUGCGGCUAGGGAUGGGCCCGCGGCCUAUCAGCUUGUUGGUGGGGUGAUGGCCACCAAGGCGACGACGGGUAGCCGGCCUGAGAGGGCGACCGGCCACACUGGGACUGAGACACGGCCCAGACUCCUACGGGAGGCAGCAGUGGGGAAUCUUGCGCAAUGGGCGAAAGCCUGACGCAGCGACGCCGCGUGAGGGAUGACGGCCU